AUCGCUUCUCGGCCUUUUGGCUAAGAUCAAGUGUUGUAGUCCAAAAACAGCUGGAGACUCAAGUUUGGGAAACCCUGCUCUAGAUGAAGGUUCUUCAACCUUAGGUCUUCAGGUGUUGUUGGACUACAAUUGCCAUCAUUCCCAGCCACCUU